ACGUCGUCGCGCUCGCGAUCGACGACAACGUCUACGUCCAUCGCGGCGAUCUGCUGCUCGUGAUCGACCAGCGCGACUAUCAGGCGCAAGUCGACGCGGCGCGCGCGCAGCUCGGGCUCGCGCAGGCGCAGCUCGACGCCGCGCAGGUGCAGCUCGACAUCGCGCACGUGCAGUUCCCCGCGCAAUACCGGCAGGCGCAGGCGCAGAUCGAGGCCGCGCAGGCGAGCUUCAGGCAGGCGCUCGCCGCGUACGAGCGGCAGCACGCGGUCGACGCGCGCGCGACAUCGCAGCAGGCGAUCGACGUCGCCGACGCGCAACGGCUCACCGCCGACGCGAACGUCGCGACCGCCCGCGCGCAGGCGCGCACCGCGAGCCUCGUGCCGCAGCAGAUCCGGCAGGCUCAGACCGCGGUCGAGCAGCGCCGCCAGCAGGUGCUGCAGGCGCAAGCGCAGCUCGAGGCCGCCCAGCUCGCGCUGUCGUACUGCGAAGUGCGCGCGCCGUCCGACGGCUGGAUCACGCGCCGCAACGUGCAGCUCGGCUCGUUCCUGCAGGCGGGCGCGGCGCUCUUCGCGAUCGUCACGCCACAGUUGUGGGUGACGGCGAAUUUCAAGGAAUCGCAGCUCGAGCGCAUGCGCGCCGGCGAUCGCGUGAGCGUGUCGGUCGACGCGUAUCCGAACCUCGAGCUGCACGGCCACGUCGACAGCAUCCAGCUCGGCAGCGGCUCGCGCUUCUCCGCGUUUCCGCCGGAGAACGCGACCGGCAAUUUCGUGAAGAUCGUUCAGCGCGUGCCGGUGAAGAUCGCGAUCGACGGCGGCCUGCCGCGCGAUCCGCCGCUCGGAAUCGGGCUGUCGGUCGUGCCGAAGGUGUAUCUGAAAUGACGAUGACAUCGAUCACGGCGACGGCGAAGACUCGCGAUCAUGCGCCGACCGAACCGGGCGCCGCGCGUGAUGCGCGGCACCGUAUCCAUCCCGUUCGCCGCGCCGCCGCGCCUGAGCGCGCACGCUUGGCCGCCGUCGGCGGCGCCGCAUCGUCUCUUCUCGCCCCGUGCCGAUGAACGGAUCGACGCCCACCCCGCCCGCCGCACCGCGCCGCGACCGCAACGGCAACGGCGACGGCACGUGGCGUCCCGCCGCGAACCCGUGGCUGAUCGCGGUCGUCGUCACGCUCGCCGCGUUCAUGGAGGUGCUCGACACGACGAUCGUCAACGUCGCGCUGCCGCACAUCGCCGGCACGAUGUCGGCGAGCUACGACGAAGCGACCUGGACGCUCACGUCGUAUCUUGUCGCCAACGGCAUCGUGCUGCCGAUCUCCGGCUUUCUCGGCCGCCUGCUCGGCCGCAAGCGCUACUUCGUGCUGUGCAUCGUCGCGUUCACGAUCUGCUCGUUCCUGUGCGGAAUCGCAACCGAUCUCGGCCAGCUGAUCGUGUUCCGCGUGCUGCAGGGGCUGUUCGGCGGCGGCCUGCAGCC
rnacentral:rRNA from 1 species